rnacentral:rRNA from 1 species
GGAACUAUACUGACACUGAGGUACGAAAGCGUGGGGAGCGAAAAGGAUUAGAUACCCUUGUAGUCCACGCCCUAAACGAUGAUAACUUAGUGGUGAGAGCAAUCUCAGUGCUGAAGCUAACGCGUUAAGUUAUCCACCUGAGGAGUACGGUCGCAAGAUUAAAACUCAAAGGAAUAGACGGGGACCCACACAAGCAGUGGAUCACGUGGUUUAAUUCGACAAUAAACGGGGAACCUUACCCCAGACUUGACAUCUACCGAAUCUUUCAGAAAUGAGAGAGUGCCCGUAAGGGAGCGGUAAGACAGGUGCUGCAUGGUUGUCGUCAGCUCGUGCCUUGAGGUGUUCGGUUAAGUCCGUUAACGAGCGCAACCCAUGUCAUUAGUUGUAUUUUCUAAUGAGACUGCCUAGGUUAACUAGGAGGAAGGUGUGGAUGACGUCAAAUCAGCAUGGCUUUUACGUCUGGGGCUACACACAUGAUACAAUGGUAUGUACAAAGAGUCGCAAUAUCGCAAGAUGGAGCUAAUCUUCAAAGCAUAUCUCAGUCCGGAUUGAGGGCUGCAACUCGCCCUCAUGAAGUUGGAAUUGCUAGUAAUCGUGAAUCAGAUAUGUCACGGUGAAUGUGUUCCUGGGUCUUGUACUCACCGCCCGUCACGGCAUGGGAGGUAGUAAUAUCGGAAGUCCCAUCUAAUAAUAAGGGGGCCCAUGGUAGGACUACUGACUGGGC